rnacentral:rRNA from 1 species
UACAGAGGUCCCAAGCGUUGUUCGGAUUCAUUGGGCGUAAAGGGUGCGUAGGCGGCGCGGUAAGUCGGGUGUGAAAUUCCUGGGCUUAACCUGGGGGCUGCAUACGAGACGUAUGGGCUUGAGUGCGGAAGAGGGUCGUGGAAUUCCCAGUGUAGAGGUGAAAUUCGUAGAUAUUGGGAAGAACACCGGUGGCGAAGGCGGCGACCUGGUCCGUGACUGACGCUGAGGCGCGAAAGCGUGGGGAGCAAACAGG